rnacentral:rRNA from 1 species
GACGAACGCUGGCGGCGUGCUUAACACAUGCAAGUCGAGCGGAUCGGCGAAGGGGGGAGUAACGCGUGAGUAACUGCCCCCCUCUCUGGGAUAAAAGUUGGAAAAGGCUGCUAAUACCGGAUAGUGGGGGAUGACUCGGGUCCUAUCAGCUUGUGGGUUGGGGAGUGGCCUCCCAAGGGGACGACGGGAAGCCGGCCUGGGAGGGGAACGGGCCACAUUGGGCUGAGGUACGGCCCAAACUCCUACGGGAGGCAGCGGGGGGGAAUAUUGCACAAUGGGGGAAACCCUGAUGCAGCAACGCGCGGGCGGGAUGACGGCCUUCGGGUUGUAAACCGCUUUCAGCCAUGACGCGGUAGUGGCAGAAGAAGCACCGGCUAACUACGUGCCAGCAGCCGCGGUAAUAC